CUCCAGCAGAACCCUGACUUGUUCAGCAAUUCCGUCUUCAUCUGGAAUUAACAUCCCAGUCUACCUGGGCCCCAAAUAUGUCUGUAACUCCCAUGAGAAGAAAAUCCUCUGAAAGGAAAAGAGAACACCUGUAUACCUUCUUUUCUUUCUUCUUCUCCCACCCAAGCAUCUACCACACUGCCAGAUAUGUAUGAUGUUACCCAAAGGAGUUCUACAGAUGUGGAUUUCUCAGAGAACCAAGAAGAUGAGCGCAAGAAGCCAGGAACUGCGUCAUUCCUACAUCAUUAGAGUAUUCUCCUGCGUCACCUCCAGGGAAGAGGCUAUCAGAGCUUCCCUGGAAUAUGGACAUAAUAUGGAGUAUCUCAGAUUAUGCAGAUAUGGGUAACCAAACAGAAGGAGCGUGGAACCCUGUGGAGCCACCAUACCAGCCCUGGACUGCUCAAACAAGAUCAUCACGUGAGAAAGAGCCAACCCUCUAUCUUGUUAAACCCCUGUGUCACCUGGGUGACAGCUACAAUGGCUUUCUGUGCUCUGUCCCUCCCCAACCCUAUGCACUCUCUCACUCACCACAUCCAGCAAAUGCAGGUCUUUAUGGGAAGGCUAUUCUCAGGCCGCCAGCACUUCCGGUCACUUAUGCACCCCUCCCCAAGGACAGCAGUCCUUAUGCAAUGACUGAUGGGGCCAGGAGUAUUACAAAGGCUUUACCUUCUUAUCUUGUUCUUGAUUGUGACAGCUGUUAGGAAUAAGCUCCAGAACUCCCCUGCAGGACUGAGCCAACAGUGUCCUCCCCGAGAUCUUGUGUGAUCCUUGCUGCACCCUUGCUUGGCCUCCAGUCCCCUUCCCUCUUCUCAGACGCACUUCCUCACCCCUACCAAGUUUCCCUGAAAUUCUUCCUAGUAAGUCACUGCCCCCAUGAAAUCUCAUCCCAUGUUCUAUUUCCAGGGACCCAAACCUGAGAUGGGAUAUAUCUCACUGGAUAUAUCCAACGAGCACCAUCCCAUUCCCUAGGGUUCCUCACAGUUAUUACACCUGUACACCCUGCCAAACCUUGCCCUGUGCAAAAUCAAAUAGACGGUGACUCUCUUAAAUCAAAAUGGAAUUAUAGGGUAUACCACAUACCUCACCUUUUUCACUUAAAACAGUUCAUGGACCAUAUUCCACGACUGUAGAAUAUACAUACACCUCAUUAUUAUUCAGGAUAUAUGGUUGCCUAUAAUUUGAAGUCUAAAUAAACAUCAAAAACAUU